UUGAUUUUAUUUGUUUCCUUAUUACCACAAAGGUCCCUUGUAUUUAUCUCCCUUUUUCCUUGAUGUAAUAACAUACAAAUAUUUUAUUCAAUGAAAUAUCAACACAUGGGUAUCAGAGCUUUAACCGAGAUCUACUGUUCAGACGCCGUUGUUGCUCUUCUCGUUGUGAAUCUCACCGACGAUGAGCUCAGCACCUAUGACCAGAUCCAUCUGCAGGUCCCAAAUUCAUCCAACCUGAAGUCGACCUAGGUCCCGUCCGUGGUGAACCUAACGUGAAGCCUCCUUGUUUCCUCAUUUCCUCGUCUGCUGCACUCUUCGAUGGAGAAAAGUGAAAUUGCUCGUCCAAUUAGCAUGAUUCUUGAUGGCUCUAAUUAUAUUACAUGGACAAAUCAAAUUAAAAGCUUUCUAAUUGGACGAAAAUUAUGGCGUAUUGUCUCCGGUGAUAUUACCAAACCAACCAAACAAGACCUAAGAUGAUAGCAAAUUUAUCGAACGCCUCGAAGAAUGGGAUAGCAAAAAUCAUCAAAUUAUCACCUGACUUAGUAACACAUCAAUCCCUGCUAUCAAUAUACAAUUUGAUGCUUUUGAAAAUGCUAAGGAAUUAUGAGAAUUUUUGUCUACACGAUUUAAAUCUGUCAGAUUAGCUCAUUACUAUCAGUUGCAUAAUAGCCUUGUCAAUCUCAAUCAAGAAGUUGGUCAAUCUGUUAAUGAACAUCUAGCAGUGCUUCAACCUAUCUGGACUCAACUUAAUCAAGCUAAAAUCAGUAAAGAUCUUCGUCUUAUUAAAGUCUUUAUGUGAUUAUGUCCAGAAUAUGAAUCUGUUAAGACUGCCUUACUACACCACAAUCUCUUGCCCUUAUUGGAUGCAGUCAUCCAAGAGAUAUUAUUUGAAGAAAAACGUCUUGGCAUCAAUCUCUCCAAACAUUCUGAUGUUUUUCUUGUAGACAUUCAUUCAUCAUCUAGAGAAUCAAGCACAUUUUAUAAGAAUUGGUCACAAAUUUAUUGAUUGUCUUAAAAUAGAAUGGAGAUACUACCAUAAACCAUAUCAUAUUUUGGGUAAUUGUCCUAUAAAAUCAUCUCGACCUCGAAGCUAUUCUACAAGAGGAAAGAACUUUACUAAAUCUGAUACCUCAUCUGUUGUUGCUGCUGCAUCAGAUAAUUCCACCUUCCCCUAUUUUCAAAUAAGUAAUCUUUAGAGCCUAUUAAAUCAGUUAAUUUCAUCAUUUUCCUCUGCACUUGCUGUCUCACCAGGUUCAGGAUCCAUAGACGAAAAGACGAUUGGGACGGAUCAUAAAGUGGGAAGAUUGUUUGAGCUCCUAUCACUUCAAGUUCCUCCUCCUUCAUCCAUCUCUGCUCCUGUCACUGACUCUGAUACAUAUCAGUGGCAUCUUCAUCUUGGUCAUGCUUCUCUUGAAAAACUUCAUCAUUUAAUUUACGUUAACAAUUUAAAUAAUGUUACCAAGUUUGUCCUUUUAAUUGUUUAAAUUGCAAACUUGCUA